rnacentral:lncRNA from 1 species
AUUAAUUGCUAUCUUAAUACUAAUUCGGAUAAGUAAACCAAGAUAGAUUAAAAAUUAGAAUUAAAAUUAAAAACUAAGAUAAAAAACAGUCUAUUGGACUACCAAGAAAAAAAUAGGAAAUUAAACCCAGCCGCCUGGCUGUUGGGUUCUAGAGCUAAUGGAUUGGGAAUACCAAAAAAACAUUAAUACACUAUUAAAUAAAAGAAACAGGAAGACUAAACAUGAAAUCUUUAUGGUUUAAACGUUGGUUUUUUCUAACAAAUAAAAAGAAAAUGAAUAAAAGGAAAAAAUGAAAAAAAGGUAGAGGUACUGUAACAAGAACCCAGAAAAGUUCAUC